UUGUUGUAGCCUAGCCAGUCAGGCAGUCUGUCCCUCCUCCUGCCGUGACAGAGAAGAUCCCAACACAAAGAUUUAAUCCAUGAAGAUUGACUAAUCUCUUCAAAUCUACAGGCCGUAUCUUGGGUUGAUCUAUCUUCUCAUCUUCCCAGUUUGGAUCCUUCUUCUUUCUUGGGUAAACAGAUGAUUCUAGAGGUUCGGCCCUAAGAGCCAAGGCAUUCAUGACCAACAGGAACUCCCCACGAUAUUGAAGACAACUGACUGUCUGCUGCAACCCAGCUGUGAAAUCAGGUAAGGCUAAAAUGACAGAAGUAAUUGCUUUUGAUAACUGUAAUCUAAGUCCAUAUCCCUCAUUUUAUUAGGAGUGUCUACAAUGUUGUUUGACAUUUCUUUCUUCUUCUUUUUCUCUGUCCAUUUCCACCCCUGCUGGCAUUCUUCACUCAUGCAGAUGUAACAGAAAACAAGAAACCAGAUUUUGCUUAACACAGGCAACUAAUGAAUCACAUUUUGGGGUAAAAACCUAGGUGUGUUCAGAUUUAUAUUAAUCUGUGGAUGAUUUUUCUUCUAUGAUGUCAGAUCACUCUGCGUACAUGACUUCAGUGAUCAGGUCCCUAUAUUGAUUAAGGAUCAGUUAAUCAGUGCGCAUGUAAACACUGCAUGUAAGUAUCAGCAGAUGCCAAAAAUAAAAAACCCUCACAUGAUGGUGAACAACUAUUUCGUCUUUCUAGUGUGUGGACAGCAAAGGUAUGACAAAGACAGUUUAAUUCGCCAAAAAAUCUGAGUCCACACUUCUAUAACUGAAAAUCUCUCAAAAUCUCCCUGGGUUGGAAGCAACUUCAAGGUAAACAACCGUGGCAAGUGACAAGAUGGUCAAAGAGAUAAAUGCAUACAAGUAAUCGUGUCAUUUCAUAAUCUGCAGAGAAGGAAUUAUCUUGUUGAAGUUUCGUCUCAUCACCUCUAAAGUCUGAGGUAUUUACAGCCGUUCUGGAUGAUCACAUUUAAACAGAAAGAUCAGACUUUGCCUCUUCCUACCAAAAUCUACAAGACCGACAUGUUGAUCUGUAAAAGUGGUCAAACUUUGUGGAAAGUCAGUUUUUAAAGAUCAUAAAACUCAUCUGCCACACUUUAUAAUCUGCUGGUUCCUUUUUGUAAGACAUAAAACAAAUUAUUUAUACGAAUAAUAUGUAUUUUAAACCCUUCAGAAUAAUCUACUUUUGGAGAGGCAGGUCUAAGAAAGCAGAACGUUUUUUUCAUCCUUUUCAGAAUAAAGACCAAAUCCACUUAAAACCCACUGCCUGUAAAUCCUGAUACCUAUGUCUGAAUGCAAAAUCUGUGUGUCAGACUUGUUGGACAGUCUGAGAGCCCAAUAAGGGUGAAGCAGAUUAACACCAGAUAUGUUUAUGGGCUCAUGAUUUGAAAAAGUAACUCAUACAUUGAUGCUUGAAAAGGGUACAAAUAAGUUCAUAUCAUUUGCCUGAUCCCAGCUCUAAACCACUUGAAUAGACACAUUUGUUUAAAUGUCUGGAAAAGGUCGAUUUGAGCUGAUGGCUCAGUUUGACAGGAGCUUUGUCCACCUUCUUUUUUUCUGUCUGUGUCGUUAACUUUGUAUCUUCAUGUCCCAUUAAAGUCACCAACACAGUCUUUUCUGUUCUCCAUCAUGCCGUAGGUUCCCCUGGAUUGUGGCUGCAGACGUCCUGCUGUUGUGGACCUGUCUGCUUUCCAGCUGCUCCAACUACAAGCAUUAGUCUCUUCUCUAUUCGUCUCUCUCUUUCUCCAUCUCUCCCCUCUCUUAAUCCAGC
rnacentral:lncRNA from 1 species